rnacentral:lncRNA from 1 species
GAGUCGGGUUAGGCCAGGUCAGAUCGCGAUUGAUUUAAACUAGAUCUGGUUAGGUCGGACCAGUUCACAUCGAUUCGGUCUAGACUGGUUUAGUAUAGGCCAGUAAAUGGUUCCAAACCGAGAAACUCAAUGUUAGGGAUUUGGGGAGCUCCUGGACCAUAAAUUAUUAUCUAUGUUUCCUCGGGCAUAAAAGGUAGCAACGAAUUCAUCCUCAACCCAUCUGUGGUCUUGAGCGCAAAGGGGGUAGGCAGAAAUGCCUUCUGCCUGUGCACGAUUGCCAUCUGGUCUUUCGGGGCUAGAGUUCUGUGGCACAGUGCACCAACACGUAUUGUUUCAUCGCGUACGAAAGUGUGCGGCCAGUCUCUGUGCAGCCCGAUUGGAGCGAUUAUUGCCUGGUCAGCUGGACUCGGCUUCUCCUGAUGCAGCAUCUGAUCGCAUAUCAGCUUCGCCAGGAAAUUAAAUUGAUGCUAGAAUUCAUGUAUCAUUUUGUAUACUUCUUCCAUGAAUGCGAAGAGUUUAUGAUCGACAUCCUUCUGUGAUCAUCUCCGGAUUCUUUGGCUUGACCACUGUUGCCUUCUUUUUGGGCUAAGUGCGAGAUACGACACCGAUAGAGGACUCGACUACUUCCUGCUAUAAUAUUACCUUGUUAGAAGCCUUUGACAUAGAUUUUGACUUCAGAAAAAAUAGAGAAGAAGAAGGAGAGAGUGAAGAAUACGAAGAAUAAUCUGAAAAGAAAAAUAGAGGUAAUAUUUUUGAUUAAUUUCAAUUGAUGAUUACAAAAUAGUGAAAGGGGCCUUUUAUAGACCUUGACACAAUAAAGAAAAACUCCAUUGGUGGCCCAAAUCACAUGGCUGAAAUUUUUCUUCCCAUUAUUAGCCGCAACAGCGGCCACAAGAUGAAUUGGUGAUGGAUUGGCACCAACUGCAGGAUUGAUGAGAUGAUUAGGGUUAACAAAUCCUAACCCUAAUUUUUUUACUAUUUUGCCUUUUGGUGCACAUUUCUUAAUUUACCACUCCUACUUUACUAAAUCCUAAGUGGCUUCCUGAUAUGUAUUUGGAUAAAUGAAGUUAUUAGAAUGUCACAAAAAAUAUCUUGUUAAAUUAAAAUUAAUUCAAGAAAAGAGAUUGAUCAAAACGCCACAAGUUACUUUAAUAAGUAGACACCAAUUCCCCACUUGACGAGAAGGUUGAAGAAACUUUUUUAAAGAGCAACAUAGCCAACAGCUAAGCAAAGCGAGAAACUUAAUUUAUUGAUCUCAAAUAUCUAAGUCUUUUCAACCAAAAGAGUAAAGCAUUUAUAUAGGUAUAAACCUUAUUAAUUCUCUUCGAAUUCAAAAUUUAAUUCCUAGAAAAACUCAAAUUGCAUUAUUAUCUAUGAUUUUAAUAAAAUAUUAUUUUAAACAAGUAUAAACAUAAUUAAAAUAAAAAUUCUCUCUUGAUAAAUAUUGGUGUUGUGAUCGACUUCUCCAUACUUUAUUAUACUUAGAUUUGGACUCAAAUAUUUAAUUAAUUAUUGUUGAAGAAAUUGAGUUGAAAUUGCUUUAAACAACUUCCUAACUGAAGUAGAAAACAAACUUUCAUCCAUGAGAAAAUCAAGAAAAAAUCUAAGAGAAAAUCCAAAAGAAAAUAUAAGAAGAGUGUAAUCUCGACUAAGACUUGUAGAAAAAGAUUUUUCUUCUCUUAUCUUGAUAAAACUCUAAAUUGAUGAAAGCUCUUGGUUUUGCUGAUGUAGAACUGUUAAAACCUGACCAUGCUGGAUAGGAUUAAGAUUCUUAAAUUCUUAGGAGAUUUACUUAAAGUUGAGAAUUAUUUAUAAGGAGAGUUGUGUUCGGUUGUGAAUGAAUGAACAAUCAAGUGUCCAAAAUUUUUAGAAUUCUUAUUAUUCACAUGAUAAAUGUGUUUUAGAAGAGAUGAAUAUCUAGUUAUAACUCGUCCAAGAAGAAUAGACUCCCCCAUGUGAAGUACUCGAGAGUCUAUGAUUGGGAAUAUUUUUUUUGGUCAUUUGCUUGUAAUCAUUUGUUAUGGUAUCUUAGUGUGAGUUGCUUCCCUUUUGCUUGCAUCCCUAAAAAAGAGAGAAAUAAGAGAAUACUACUAUUUAGAGAGGGAGAGAAACAGAUAGAAACAAAGAGGAAAAUCCAUCUAAGAUUGAGUUUUUGUCUAAACAAAUAUCUACCAAGCAUCAUUAAAACGGAAUAUAAAGACUCGAACCCUUAUUUACUGCGCAAUCAUGAUAAAGAGAGCUACAAUCACAUUUUUAUUAAUUGUUGUAUAGUUAGAAUGUUUUGCUUGACUUUUAAAUGGGGACUAAUGUUGGAAGAUUGGAACUUAGAUUGACAUAAGAAUUCUCAAGAUACAUAAUUAAUAUGUAAAUUCAAACAUUAAUUUAACGAAUGACAAGAAAUUCUACUCUACGCAUCAAUAAUGGCUGGCUUAUUAGAUUUGCAAAUAAAUAAAGGAAUAGUUACAAGCAUAAAAGAGUUACUUGGGGUAAAAAAAUAAGUUUUUCUUGUAAUGAAUGAAUUACAAUUCUUGUUUAACUUCUCAAAAAAUAUCCUCCUAAAAGACAAGGAAAAUCAACAAGAAAUAUAUGUUAUAUCUAACUUUAUUAUUUAUAUAUUGAUAUUCUAACUUUAAAUUUUAAAGAAUAUAUAUUAUCUGUAUUUAAUACUUUUAUUUAUAUAAUGUAUAUAAUACACAUAUAUAUUACUUAUUUAUUUAUUAUUUUUAUUUUUAAUAUUAAAAAAAUAUUAAUUACAGAUUUUCACUUAUAACUAACUGGUUGCAUAAUCAGAGGCAAUCCUGAUGAGUGUGGAAAAAGCAUAGGAGAACAGUAUGAAAAGAGUCCAAAUGCAUAAGGAUUUGCAGC